UACCUUAGGUUAACUCUGUCCCGUCAGGGACUUGCUAGUGAGCUCCUUCAGGCAUUUGCCACUCAGCAGUUUGUUCUCAUACUCACUGCCUUAUCCAUUAUGAUUUACUUUCAUGUAGAGAUUGUGUUGUUUAUCUCUCUAUUCCACACCAUGCUUGGAAUGGGUGGUUCAGUAUAGCCAGCAACUGAGACGUGUGCUCACUGAAGGGCUCAAGAACCAUCAUUACCAUGUUUUCAGGCCAGACAACAUGUUUAACUCCCAAAGCCUCUAAUAGAGCUCUUGAUGCAACUGUAUAUGAUUCUGUGCACUUGUGUGGUUACUGAGCACUCAAGAUGAUAUUAAGAUCCACAUUGCAACAGAAACCUGUGAUCCAAAGAGUGGAACUGUGCUCAGUGUAUCUUCUAAUACAAACCUGUAAAUUCCCUUGAGCCCUAAGAGGAUGAAUCUGUCUCAACGUGGCUCAACUUUUGGUAUCUCAAGAGGGCGCGGCAGCAACUCCUUACCUCCGUCUGGACGAGGUAGUUGCGCUGUGUCCUGAUAUGCUUCAGGAAUCCCAGGACAUUGACUGUGCUUUUAUCUUUGAUCUGCUGCAGCAUGCUGUCUAUCACAAUGUAGGUGCCCGUCCUGCCCACGCCAGCACUGUGAAAAAUGAAGGCGCUCAACUAGGACUUUGUAAUUUUUUCAAUCCAUGGUCACAAUGCAAUUUUAGAGGAAGAUUCGGCCAAAGUCAAGCAAAGCAAUAGCAGAGUUCCUAUGGUCCCAGUUCACAGGGCCCGAGCUCCCUGCUCAAUCUCCCUCACAUGCUGAGUCCCAGGUGGAAGAAGAGAAGGAUGCUGGCCCUACCUGCAGUGCACCAGCACGGGGCCCAUGUCUGGCACCCGGGCUGCCGAGGAUCUCCUCACGAAGGUCAGGACUGGGAGGGCAUACUCGGGAACUCCCAUGUCAGGCCACUGUGUGUAGUGAUACUGGAUCACCGUCCUCUCGUUCUGACGACCCUUGGGAUUUCCCUUCUGGCCCUGUGAGAAAGGUGUAAGAAGACCUCUUUAAUCUGCAGGUGAACAUUCUGGAAACAAACAAGAUCAUGGGCCACGAGUCUCAUUCUUCGUCCACUGUCAAGGAGGGACCUUCUGGAAAGGGAGGACAGAGUUGUGCUGUGCCUUCUCAGGAAGUGAAGGGAAAAUCCCAAGUGUCAAAUGAUUCUCCAUCUCUAGAAUCAGAGGAUACAGAACACCUGAAAUUCCUACACUAUCUCUGACUUGAGCCGUUUCUAAGAGAAGGAGCUUUUGGGGGACGCCUUAUAUCCAAACCAGAAGAAUACCAAAAGCAGAGCCUUAGGGGUGAGCCGAAGACAGCAACUUCUGUGGGAAAGAAGGCACCAGAGUCGAGAGAGUGUUGACCUCACACACAGCACCGUACAACAUGAAGCGCUAAGCUAAGGAACAGAAGGAAGAGCCGUUCCUGUCAUCUGGGUGGCUUUUCCCCAUGCUUGCAUCUUCGGAACUAUAAGAGGCAGGUCAGCACUUCAUGCUGCUAAUGUACUCCUCCGUGCUGAAUUUGCUUUCUCUUCAUCUUUAGGAGAAUAGGAGGAAUAAAGGGAAAACUUUGUUUUCUGCAAUCUUUGGUUUGAUAUUAGAAAGGAAAAAUAA